rnacentral:lncRNA from 1 species
ACCUUUUUUAUUUGUCAUUGCACUUCACAGUCGGACGCAGCAGCCCAGAAUAUGGUAACAUUAAUAUUAUUGAAGACCACGACGUUUGAAGAGUAUAAAGCUGGAAACUGCCUUUGACAGAAUUGCAGCAUCGAUAAGUACAAAAUAUUUUAAGUAUUCGAUUUUGGUAAGAAACACUAACGUUAAUUAAUUCUAACAAUAGUCUUUUUUAUAUUAUAAGCAGGUACUAGGUACUAUUAUAUUUGUUUAUAAUUUUUAAUUUUCUAAAUUAUUGUACCAAAUAUUGUAUCAUUCAAAAAUUGAUAUUUUUAUAGUUUGCAGUUUUUUUAUGAACACUGAAAUCAAUUUAAUUAGGUAUAUGAUUCCGAGUAUCUAUAUAAUAUUGUCUUUUACUAGAAAAAAAUAUAUCAUUACAAUGUAUUUUCAGCGGCUUCAAAAUAAUGCAGUUUCUUUUAAAUGUUUAUUAUUAGCACUAACACCUAAAGUUAUCUACGACCUCCAAUUAUAUUCCAAUAAUUAUUUCUAGAAUACUAACAUUAAUAAAACCUACAUUAAAAUGGAUACCAUCAAAGAGAACUACAAAAGCUUAACGUAUACGUGGACCAAUGUCAAUGUACACACGAGAAAUAUUAAUAAUAUCCGAACGGCUUACGACACCCUAAUGACCUGUUUCAAAGCAAAGAGUUCAUUUAAGGAGUCACAAGGAAAACAAUUAUUGAAAAACGGUGAGCGCCUAAGUCGUCGAAUUAAAUUGAAUAUUAAAUCCAAAUGACUUACAUGCCAUCGUUAUAUGCUUUAUUAUUUUUAAAGUAACAAAAUAUACUGCAGCUUAUUUGCUAACCCUUCCUCCCAUUAACAUUUUCUAGAUAUCCUAUUUGUUGUUUUUACUAUUUUUGUUUUCAAUUUUUUUUGUCUAUACACAUUAUCUAUCUUUACUAUUUGGAUUUCAGUGAGUGGUUUGGCACAACCCGGUGAAUUAUUGGCAGUGAUGGGUUCCAGUGGUGCAGGAAAGACGACCCUGUUGAACUUUUUGACAUUCAGGAACGCUCGGAACUUGACGGAGACUGGCAUAAGAGCCAUCAACAAUGUGUCCAUUGACAGCGAAUGGCUGACAGCCGUUUCCGCGUACGUCCAACAACGCGACUUAUUCAUGGGAACCCUCACCGUUUGGGAACACUUGAUAUUUCAGGUAUGAACCACACAUGAUCACUUGAAUAAUUUAGCAUGAAUAAAGUAUCUAAUACAUUUCAACUUUUGCUAUAGGCAUUAGUACGAAUGGAUAGACGCACGCCGUACACGGAACGAAUAGCUCGAGUCGAAGAAGUCAUGAAAGAGGCGAGCUAAAAAAAAAAUUUAAUUAUUAUUCACGAUACAGACAUAUACAUAUGACCUAUAUAAUUCGUAUUUUGUGUGAAUCAGAUGUUAUUGACAAAAUGCAAAAACACUGUCAUAGGAGUUACCGGACAAAUGAAAGGAUUAUCCGGUGGUGAAAUGAAACGUCUGUCGUUUGCUUCCGAAGUAAGAUUGAAUAGUAGUUUAAAUAGCUAUAAUACUAUAAUAUAAAUACUAUAAUGUAAAUUGAAAAGGACGGUAAAUAUUUUGUAGGACAAUGUGAAUACUUAGCAUUAAAAACAAAUUUAAUAACAUAUAAUUACUAACUGAGUUGCAUUUUCCUUUAACAGUACUUUCGUUGAAUUCUUACUGCUGUAACGCAAAUCGAGCCCAAAAGCAAUGUGCAAUAAAUUGUGAAUUAACGAUUUAAACUAAACGGGGAACUUAAGUUUUUAAAAUAAAAUGGUAACUCAUUAGUCAUUUAUCAAUUUUGUUUAAGUAUGAACGGGUAAAGGGGCUUUUACUAAAAAAGACCUUAGAGAAAUAAUAUAUAAGAUAAGUUUACUGAAUUUUUAAAUUUCACAUAAGUGAACAAUAAUAAACAUGAUCAUAACUAUGGCUCAUAACUUUAAAGAGUUUACAUUUUUUUUUUUAGUGAUCUUAAAGAUACUUAUGUGAGCUAUAAAUUUGUUUCAGGAAAUCACGAAGGUAAAUUUUUCGUUUUUUUUAUUAUUAUUAAAUUUAUUCGUAAAUACGAAUAUUACAUAUUUUGAAGUUUAAGUGCUGUUUUACUUAUUUAUGUGUUAAUCACUAUUUCAGUGUGCCAUUUAAGUGCUUUUUUUUAUUUUUAUAUCUUAUGCGCUAUUUCAAUACCGUAAGCUUCAAGAUAUAUUUAAUAAUAAGAAUAAUUUAAACAGUGUUGAAUAUAUUUAUGUUCUAUUAGCGUCUGUUGCACAUUAAUUAAUCAUUUCAUAAGGAAACCUCUACAACUGUAUCACGUGUAUUUUAUUUUUAUAGUUUAUAGGUAUUCUGAUAUCAAUAUAUUUUUGUAUAUUUCUUUAUUUUUAGUACAUAUUUAAGCGCUUAUAUACAUGUUUUAGAUUCUGAGUGAAGCGAGAAAUGUAUUUGUAUUACAAUGAUGUUAAUAAUUUUUUUUCUACCAACAAUUUUGCUCCCAUUUUCAAUGAUAGCACAUUUUUUAGAGAAAAUCUAACUGGUGUGGUACUUUAAUGAGACCAUUUUUAAAUUUCCCCUGCUGUUUUUACAAUAGAUGGAAAAAACCAGGAAUAAACAUGGGAAAAAUCGGAAAAAAACAUGGGAAAAAAAGGAAAAUAAGUACAAUAUUAAAUAAAUAUUAUUAAAGAAAAUAUAUAAUGAAAAUAUUAUGUAAUUAUUUUACCAUAAUAUGACAUACAUGUGAAACCCUUGAUAAAGCAACACUAUUAAUCGAACUCCGCUCAGAAUCGUUUUUCGUUAGUAAUGGAUAAUCGUUGCCUACAUUAAAUUUCCCCUCUACCUUCCUAACUUUUCAUCUACAACAAUGGUCCUCCCAUGAGUGAAGUAUGUUUAAGUGCAUAUUAUUUCGCUUGUGUAACAACCUUUUUUAGAGUUGCAAGUAACUUUUUAGAUUCCAGAUUAUAACCGUUUGUUUAUGUACUAUCUAAUUUCGUAGUCAUAUUUAAUAACACGUAUCGUUACUGGUUGUCGGUGUAUAGAUUUUGACAGACCCGCCUUUAAUCAUCUGCGACGAACCAACGUCGGGACUAGAUUCAUUUAUGGCACGAAAAGUAAUCAAUAUACUCCAGACGAUGGCUUUGAAGGGCAAAACGAUAAUUUGCACAAUCCAUCAGCCGUCAUCAGAAGUGUAUCACAUGUUUGAUAAAAUACUGCUGUUGGCCAACGGGCGGACCGCUUUUUUGGGCGCACCAAAUGAAGCCAUCGAAUUCUUCAAUAGGUGUAUAAUAUAUGUAUAAUAAUAAUAUUAAUAUUAUAUAAUAUUUAAUCAUUUUUAACGUGCAUACGUUCAAAUAAAUUGUAUUAUAAUAGAUCAAUGUAGUCUUGUACUCUUAUAGAAAUAUUUUAUUGUCUCUAUUACAUCAGUUAUCGAGAUUGAAAGUUGUCACUCCGCAUAAAUACACAUUUACAAUUAGGACUGUAAAAUUAGUUAUGUUUAUUCCACGACAGGCUCGGUGUAUGUUUUCCGAACAAUUAUAAUCCGGCGGAUUUUUUCGUUCAGCUCUUGGCCAUCGUACCAACACGAGAACUGAGUUCAUACGAAACAAUCAAUACGAUCUGCGAGGAAUACAAAAACUCACCGUACAACAAAUACUGUACGAUGAACCACCAAAAUAUGAAUUUGUAUCCAACCAAAGAGGUGUUUAUUUAUUAAUACAAUAUUAUAGUCUUUUCUUAGCGGUAAUUGCGACGGUUUUGUUUAUUAGCUCUCAGUGGAUUGCAGUCGUCGAUGUUCGAAUGGUCCCUAUAAUAUUUCGUCUCUGUACAACGCCUCGUGGACCGAACAAUUUUCAGCAGUCUUCUGGCGGUCGUGGCUGAACGUCAAAAAAGAACCGGCACUCAUCAAAAGCAGGAUUUUCGAAACGAUGGUAAGUCAGUUAUCAAACAUAUACAUAUUUAUUAUUGACUUAAACCUUUCCUGUGCACACAGAUAAAAGCCGCUCUGGUGAGUACAAUUUUCUAUAACGAACGUUUUGAUCAGGACGGCGUGAUCAUCAUUAACGGAGCUCUCUAUUUUUGUAUGAGCAUGAUGACCUACCCGAACAUAUUCAUCGUUAUCAACGUGAGUACCAUCUUAACAGGGACGGCACGAGGGGUAGGGGGCAAUCGGGGAGUUUACCCCGGGCCCCGCGAUUUUAAAAUUAUAAUUAAGGCCCCGCAGUUCUGAAAUGAUUUCUACUGUUCAAAGGUUUUACUAAAUUUCCAAAAUUUUAUUUAUUGAAAAUAUAAUUCGUAAUAAAUUAUUUUAUAUAAAACAAUUUUUAUUGUUGAAAAUAAUUCUUUAUACUGUGAAUCGAAUGCGGAAUAGUUAUUUUUAGACGUCAGUCGUGACGGCCUUAUCAGUGGAGGCGACUAAGUAUAGGGACUAGUACUAGUACUAAAAGUAUAAGGAAGUAUGAUGUACUAUUUUUAAUACUUUUAUAUACAUUUCGGUUUUAUACGAUAAUCAAUAUUAUACUAUAUAUUACACCACCAGCAUAGAGUAAAGACAAGUAUGACCACUAGUGUGCUGCGUGUGUCUGUGUGUGUUUUUGUCUUUCGAGCAUUUGAGUUGGUACGCUGGUUAUAUGAUUUUUCUUACAGUGUUAUUAAUGUGUAAUUGAAAGAUUAUUCACGAUUAUUAUUAUUUAUUCACAGAUAAUUUUUACCUUCAUAUAAUUAUUAUUUUACAUUUCCACGUAAUAUGACUAGUAGACUGUGAUAAGUUUCGAAAGUAUAAGAGUGGUAAUGACAAAACAAAAUUAAAACAAAAUUAAACAAAAAUGAGACAAAUUUUUAAAAUUGCAACAAGGAUCUUUUGAGCGAUUUCUUAAGAAUGAUAGAAAUAACAAGGUAUAACAGGAUAACUAUUUUACAUUCUAUACAGUACUUUUACUAUAUUCAGUUCAGAUAUAUGAUUUAAUUACAAUUUUUCUAUAAUUAAUUUUUUAAUUUUUGUUUAUUUAAUAAAUUGUAUACCAUUAUCAUCUAUACCAGUAAAAUUAUAUUAUAUUUUAUUUAUAUUUCAACGUUUAUAAACAUUGAUAUCAUGAAGUUGUGAAUUUAUUGGUCAAUUUCAGAUAGAUAGUAAAUGAAGAAACCACUCUUCUUGAAGCUAUGUUAAUGGCAAAAUAUUCUUUAGAAUGUUUUCCAAAUAUUAGUUUUUCUCUGAGAAUUUUACUGAAAAUACCAGUAACUUUGGUAUGUGCCGAGAGAAGCUUUUCGAAAUUGAAAUUAAUUAAAACAUAUUUGAGAAACAAAUUAAGUCGAGAAAACUUUUCUGGUCUUUCAAUAAUUUCAAUAGAAAAAAAUAUUUCUAAAUCUAGAUUAUAAUAAUAUCAUAAAUCAGUAUGCUGCUAAAAAAUCAAGAAAAGUAAUUUUUUUUAAAUAUUAUUUGUAUGACUGAUGUAAUCAAUAAUUUUUAUUGUUUGUUAAUAUUGUUUUUUCUGUUAUAUUAAUUACAUUUUUAAAUUUAUUAAAAUAUAAUGUAUGUGUAUAAAACGAUGGUUGAUAUUUGAUAAAAUUGGUUUAGUAAGUACCUAGUUCAUUUGGCUAUGUAAUUAAAUUUUCGAGCGGAGCGUGUACUUAUAGUAUUUAAAAGAUCACACAUAAACUGUUAUUUACUUUGCAGAGGGCCCCGCAAAUCCUAGCGCCGUCCCUGCACUUUAAACUUACAGUGAUUUUCUGAUUUUAGACCACUAAUCUUAUCUAAAAUUGUUAUCAUAUCACUCAGGAGUUUUGUUCAGAGCUACCAGUGUUUAUAGCCGACCACCGUAACGGAUUGUACCGAACGGAUGUGUACUUCUUGAGUAGGACUUUAGCCGAAGUACCGAUAUUCUUGAUGAUACCGAUACUGUUUACGUCUAUAGUUUACUACAUGAUUGGCUUGAACCCGAAAUUUGAACAUUUCCUUACAGCUAUGUUGUUCAUGACGCUCGUCACUCAGGUGGCCGUUUCGGUGGGUAAGGAAAUUUUAGCAUACCAAUUUAUAUACGGAUGUCUGCAUAUGAACCUAAUAAUAUUAUUCUGAACUCUGUUUAAUAAUGGCAAAAAAAUCCCACAAAUUUAUGGAAAAAACAUUUUAUUAUUUUUGAUUUUUUCAAUUUUGCUUUCCCACCAAACAUUAUCUUGCUCCGAAAUUUAAAUGUAGUAUCUUUCUUGAAAGAAAAUUUUAUCUAGUUGAUGCAAAGAAGGUCCAAACAUCGCCCAGAAUCGUAUUUCGUCAGUAAUGAUUUAUCAUUCCAUUAAAUACUCUAAAUAAAUACUACUGCAUACGGAUAUACAUUAAACAACUUUACGAGUAUGUAUCUUAAUACCUUUUUUUAUUUUUAAUAUUUUCAUUGAAGAUUAUACGUAACAUUCAGUAUUUAUUAUAAUUUUUUAUUUGGAUUUAAAAAUAUAAGAAACAUUUAGUACGCAAAUAAUUUUAAUUACUCACAAAUUUUUAUUUUUUAGCAAAUAAAAAUUAAUCUUCAACGAUAAAUAUAAUUUUAAAUAAUAGAACACAUAUUAUAAUAGGUUUCCCGCAGGUCUAUUUCUGUGAAUAUUUAUAGGUGUAAAGUAUAUGUCAACAUUUUAAUCAAUAUAACUAUAGGUAUCCACCAUUUACCUUACAGAUUUCGAGUAAUUUUAGAUUCGGAGCGUAUCAAGAGAUCUAUUAGUUUUAUUAUGUGUGUUAUUGUUUUAAGAUUCUGAGCAAAACAAGACUGAGUAUUGGCAAUGAUGUUUAUUAUUAUUAUUUUUUUAUCUGUGAAAAACUUUUCUUCCGCCAAUUUUGUUCCGAUUUGCAAUGAUAGCACUUCUUUUGAAAGCAAAUCUGGUUGGGGUAGUACUUUAAGGAGGUCUUUUUUUAAUUUUUCCAGCUGUUUUUAUAAUAAAUGGGAAAACCUGGAAAAAUGGGAAUAUAGGUAUAUUAUUAAACAAAUAUUAUCAAAGAAAAUAUAUAAUGCAUAUUUAAUUAUUUUACCGUAAUAUGACAUAUAUAUUAUUGACAAAACAAUACUAUAUUAACUGAACUUCAUUUAUUUGAAUCGUUUUUUCGUUAAAAACGGUUAAUCGUUGCUAACAGAUAUACAUUAAAUUACCUAUAACAGUGGCUGCACCGGUCCCUAUUAUCCUAGGACAGCAAUUUUCAAAUUACGGCGUUACGAUUUCAUUUUUUUUAUUAUUUUUUUUUAUUAUUACGGCUUAUGUUUUCUACCAUAAAUAUAGCUCCAAUAGAAAAACAUCAAGAGAUCUUUCUUAUUGAAUUUUUAAUCUUGUCGGUGACCAAAAUAGUCGUUUUUUGAUUUUCUUCGUAUUGAAUGGAAAUUGUAUAAAUUAUCUAAAUUAUCGCAUUUCUAAACAUGCUUAAUCGAACUUCAGAACGGUUUUUCAUUUGUAAUGGUUAAUCGUUGAUUACAGAUAUAAAUUAAACAACUUUAUGUAUCUCAACUUCCCCACUCCCCAUCUACAACAGUUGCCGCACUCGUCCCCGGUAUUGGCCCUUUUUUUUAGAUUAAUAAUGCCUUUUUAUUAUUACAGGUUAUUUUGUAUCAUGUGCUAGCAUAGAUAUAAAAGUGGCGUUUUUUGUGGGUAAAUGGUUCAUGGUACCAUUUCAAAUGUGUUCGGGAUUUUUUUUAAACGUCAGGUGAAUAAUAAUUUAAAAUAUAAUAUAAAUUAUAGGUACCAACAUUUUGUGCAAUUUCGAAUUAUUUAAGUAUAAUGCUCUUUUUAUAUUGCCUUAUGUACUUAUAUUGUAAUUAUAUACCUAAUUAAAUAAAUAGUAAUUUGUUUUUAAAGUUCAAUCCCGUAUUACUUUCGAUGGUUCAGUAUUUUUUCGUGGUGCAAGUAUACUUACGAAGGACUUCGUAUUAACCAAUGGUCGGACAUCAAGUCGAUCCAAUGCAACAAAAUCAAUAUGACUAUGUGUUUACGUUCGGGUCACGAUGUUUUAGAAUCGGAUGACAUAUUAGAGGUAAAACGACAAAAAUCAAUUAGUUGUAUCUAAAAUAUUCACUCAUAUUUGGUGAAAAUAUAUAUAUUAGACAUCUUUCAGAAAAUUAUGAAAAGUUAUUAGUUGUUUCUAUAGGUACCUAUAUAAUUAUAAAAUCUAUAUUUAUUUUGACUUUAUUAAAGAAUAAAAUAUAAUAGAAUUAAAAACCCCAUAGGCGUAAUUUCGAUAAAAUUCGGGUGAUGGGGGGGGGGGGUUUGAAAAACUGACAUUUACGUACCUAAGUAAUAAAAUAACUAAUAAAUAAAAAAAAAUCUAGAAGAAAUGUAUUUAAUAAUAAAUAGAUAUUAACAUAAACCCUAAGUAAAACCCAUAAUUAAAACUACUCACAAUAUGUGAUCAUUAGAGAACGGAUUUAUAUGCACUUAAAAUCCAUAAAAAGUGCUUAAAACCAUCAAAAAGGCCAAAAAAAAUAAUUUAAAAAUAUUUAAAAGAACAAUAAUGAUAGAGGGGUUUAAUAUUCCUUCAAUGUAGAACCAUUAAAGGUGGGACUAAAACCACUCUACCACUUUUACUUUUUUUAAUAUUUUGAAGUACUUUUUUAACGAUUUAAGCGCUUUUUUACUGUUUUUAAGUGCAUAUAAAGAUUAUUGAUAGCAUAGCAACAAUUUUCGCGACCACGUAGUAUCACCAUUAAUCAAUUUUGUGGUAAUUUCACUUAUACGAAAAAUGAUAAGAAACGUUUUAGAAAACCCGACCCGGUCGCAUAUUAACAAACUGCAUACGAAAUAAAAUACUACCCGACGUGGAUUUGCUUAACAAAUCAGGGUUUAUUUUCGAUUAGCGAGGAUACAAAAUUAUAGUAUUACACCCCACAAAAAUUCAAGGGGGUACAGGCGCACCUUUUGUGCCCCCAAGAUUAUGCCCAUGAAAAACCAUUUAGUCUCUUGAUCAAAUUUCUAUUAUUAUUUUUCAGGAGAACAUUACCACGGAUAUAAUUUCAUUACUUUUGUUAAUCAUUGGCUUUCGAUUUAUGGCGUUUCUAUCUCUCCUUAUCAAAACGUCGAGGAAGUAAAUUAUUCAAUGAAUUAAUAAAAUAUAAUGUGUGUUUAAUUAAGGGUGUUUUCGAUUUGAAUAAUAAGUGCAAACAUUUUGCACUCAGUUUGCAUUGAGAGCUAAAGUAUAAUAUUUGAUUUAAUCAAAACUCAAUGGGUAGUGUUUCAUAAUCGAUUUGGCGUACUGACCACGGUUAUUUCACGGUUACUCAGUACUGUAGUUAUUUACUCGAGAGAUAAUCGUGGUAUUAACUAAUCUAGAGCUCACGAGAUGCAUAACCAAUUUUCACGGUGCACUAACAACUAUGAAUUCCAUUUCUUCAUCACGGGCGAAAUAAUUAUUAAUAAUUACUUAUUAAUACUAACUACUAACUAAUUACUAACUACUAGUAAAUAAC